rnacentral:rRNA from 1 species
GAUCAUGGCUCCAGAUGAACGCUGGCGGCGCGCCUAACACAUGCAAGUCGAACGGACGAUGAAAAGCUUGCUUUUCAAAGUUAGUGGCGGACGGGUGAGUAACGCGUGGGUAACCUGCCUCAUACAGGGGAAUAGCAGCUGGAAACGGCUGAUAAAACCGCAUAAGCGCACAGUGCCGCAUGGCACAGUGUGAAAAACUCCGGUGGUAUGAGAUGGACCCGCGUCUGAUUAG